GAUGAACGCUGGCGGCGUGCCUAAUACAUGCAAGUCGAGCGAAUGAUGAGGAGCUUGCUCCUCUGAUUUAGCGGCGGACGGGUGAGUAACACGUGGGUAAUCUGCCUGUAAGACGGGGAUAACUCCGGGAAACCGGGGCUAAUACCGGAUAAUAAGAAGAAACGCAUGUUUCUUUUUUGAAAGUCGGUUUCGGCUGACACUUACAGAUGAGCCCGCGGCGCAUUAGCUAGUUGGUGAGGUAACGGCUCACCAAGGCGACGAUGCGUAGCCGACCUGGGAGGGUGAUCGGCCACACUGGGACUGAGACACGGCCCAGACUCCUACGGGAGGCAGCAGUAGGGAAUCUUCGGCAAUGGGCGAAAGCCUGACCGAGCAACGCCGCGUGAGCGAUGAAGGCCUUCGGGUCGUAAAGCUCUGUUGUUAGAGAAGAACAAGUACGAGAGUAACUGCUCGUACCUUGACAGUACCUAACCAGAAAGCCACGGCUAACUACGUGCCAGCCGCCGCCGUAAAAC
rnacentral:rRNA from 1 species